CUCUUAUCCCGAGUUGGCGGAGGGACAGGCCCGACGAAGCCCAGCAACCAUCACUUAAUAGCCAAGAGUGAAAAGGUGCUAACCUGCAAGGCAUAUGCCUUGAACGAUAAGAG
rnacentral:ncRNA from 2 species